rnacentral:tRNA from 1 species
AUUUAGGUAGUUUAAAGAAAACAUUGGUUUGUGGUACCAAAAAUGUAAGUUUUUACCUUAGAUC